rnacentral:rRNA from 1 species
UACGUAGGGUGCAAGCGUUGUCCGGAAUUAUUGGGCGUAAAGAGUUCGUAGGCGGUUUGUCGCGUCCAUUGUGAAAGCUUGGGGCUCAACCCCAAGUCUGCAGUGGAUACGGGCAGACUAGAGUCAGGUAGGGGAGAACGGAAUUUCUGGUGUAGCGGUGAAAUGCGCAGAUAUCAGGAGGAACACCGGUGGCGAAGGCGGUUCUCUGGGCCUGUACUGACGCUGAGGAACGAAAGCGUGGGGAGCGAACAGG